AGAAUUUCGGAUAGCAGAGCUUAUUGUUAUCUAGGGCUAAUAAUUUCAUUGAAGGAAAAAUAAUAAUUACUUGAUUAAUUGAUUGUUGUACUUGGUGAAACUGAACUGCAGAACUGAAGUUUUACAUAUUUGGUUAAUUUUAUCGUUAAUUCUUGUUCUCUUAGUUUAAAAAAUAAUUUUCAAAACCCCCAUCUUUAUUUUCUGUUAAAAUAGUAGAAU
rnacentral:lncRNA from 1 species